rnacentral:lncRNA from 1 species
UUCAGAGUUUGGUCCAGAUGAAGUUUCUUUCACCUUGCGAACCUUUAGAACGCUGGGCUGCAUCAUGUGUGUUGUAACUUUAAAGUUAGAAUAGCCUAGCUUCGUUACAGUUUUUGAGCCAAAGGACCCAUUAACAGAAACAAAACUUUUUUUCCUGCAAACAAAUACAAGCUGGCCACACUGGUAAAUACCAGUGAAAUAUAUUUUGGGACUGACACUUGCAUUUUCUAUUGGUACUUAUGUCA